AUUUAAAUAGCUUAAAUUUAGAGCGUAACACUGAAGAUGUUAGGGUGGUUACUUAAUCUUUAAAUA
rnacentral:tRNA from 1 species